GAAUCAACGCUGGCGGCGUGCCUAACACAUGCAAGUCGAACGCGAGAGGGGCUUCGGCCCUGAUUGAGUGGCAAACGGGUGAGUAACGCGUGGGUGACCUACCUUUCGAGUGGGGGAUAACGUUCCGAAAGGGACGCUAAUACCGCAUAACAUCCUGUCUUUGGACAGAUGGAGAUACAAAGCCGGGAUCGUAAGACCUGGCGCUUGAGGAGGGCCCGCGUCCGAUUAGCUAGUUGGUGGGAAUGGCUCACCAAGGCAACGAUCGGUAGCCGGCCUGAGAGGGCGGACGGCCACACUGGGACUGGAGACACGGCCCAGACUCCUACGGGAGGCAGCAGUGGGGAAUUGUUCGCAAUGGGCGCAAGCCUGACGACGCAACGCCGCGUGAAGGAUGAAGGUCU
rnacentral:rRNA from 1 species